UUUUUUUAUUUAUUUAUUUUUACCUUUAAAAAAGAGCAUUAUUUUAGGUUAUUUAUUCUCUGUUUGGCGCGUAUAUAAACCACCAAAGCACGAGAAGGAAGAAAGAUCAAAAGCCAUCACUUUGAAAGUUGACAGAGCGAGAGAGAAAGUAGAGAGAGAAACGCCAAAACCAAGAAAACCAAACACUGUGCGAGCGAGUUUCUGUGUGUGAGAGAGAAGAAAAAGGGCAAAAAAAAAAAAAGAGCAAAAUCCCCCCCCCCCCCCCCCCCAAAAAAAAAAAAAAAUCUCCAGUUUCUCACACUAGUUCUUUCUCUCUCUUCAUACAAGCGCACCCCAUUCGAUCGGAGCUUCAUUCUGUUAGUUGUCCGAAAGCCGGUACAAUUUCAUCCCCGUUCCCGUCCGGUUCCGAUAUUGUCGGGAUGGACCGGUACGGUCGGACCCAGGAGGGCUCGCAGUCCGAUCCGUCACCGGAAUGGACGGCUCCAAGGCCUGAAACUGGGAUUGAAGAGGGUGUUUGGCAGCUGGGAUUAGGGGAAGGUGAAUCCGGAUACCCGGAGAGACCUGACGAGGCGGAUUGUAUCUAUUACUUGAGGACCGGGUUUUGCGGGUACGGGGCUAGGUGUCGGUUCAAUCACCCGCGUGACCGUGGCGCGGUAAUAGGAGCUGCAAGAGCUGGUGCUGGGCAGUUUCCUGAGCGAGUGGGCCAGCCCGUGUGCCAGUAUUAUAUGAGGACAGGGACGUGCAAAUUUGGUGCUUCCUGCAAGUAUCAUCAUCCUAGACAGGGAGGUGGUUCUGUUAGCCCUGUGUCGCUAAAUUACUAUGGGUAUCCAUUACGUCAGGGUGAAAGAGAGUGUACAUACUAUGUAAAAACAGGGCAGUGCAAAUUUGGUGCAACAUGUAAAUUCCAUCAUCCACAGCCAGCUAACCUACAAAUCCCAGCACAGUCACUGGCUCCUCAAGUUGCACCUGUGCCUGCUCCUGUAGCAGCUCCUGGAUUAUAUCCCACAAUGCAGUCUCCAUCUGUUCCUUCUACUCAACAGUAUGGAAUAGUAGUUGCAAGGCCUCCUCUUCUUCCAAGCUCGUAUGUACAAGGUCCUUAUGGUCCAAUGCUGUUUUCUCCAGGUGUAGUUUCCUAUCCAAGUUGGAGUUCCUACCCGGCACCUGUAAGUCCAGUUGCAUCUCCUAGUACUCAGGCGGGGGUUGGAUCAGGCUCUGUUUAUGGGAUAACACAGCUAUCUCCUUCAGCACCUGCUUAUACAGGGAUUUAUCAACCGAUGUCUACUUCAAUUGGUCCAUCAAGCAGCAGCCAGAAGGAACACUCAUUUCCAGAAAGACCUGGCCAACCAGAAUGCCAGUAUUACAUGAAAACUGGUGAUUGUAAAUUUGGAUCAUCUUGUAGAUAUCAUCAUCCGCCAGAACUGAUUGCUCCAAAAACAACUGUUCUUCUUAGCCCCAUUGGUCUUCCUAUGCGUCCGGGUGCACCAACUUGUACCCACUAUACACAACGGGGACAAUGCAAGUUCGGACCGGCAUGCAAAUUUGAUCACCCAAUGGGAACAUUGAGUUACAGUCCAUCUGCAUCUUCUCUUGCUGAUAUGCCUGUUGCACCCUAUCCUGUGGGCUCUGCAAUUGGUACUCUAGCUCCAUCAUCAUCAUCUUCUGAAUUGCGACCUGAACUUAUUUCUGGGUCAAGCAAGGACUCCAGUUCAACCCGGAUGUCUUCAUCAUCAAGCACAUCUAGUGGAUUGGUGGGUUCAACCUUUUCAAAGAGUGGGCCUGUUCCUCAUUCUGGUGUGCAACAGUCUAGCCAUAGCUCUGGCCCUUCAACCGGGAGCAUCACAGAGGCCCAUACCUCAAGCUAAGCAAAAUACCAAACAAAUUUUUGAUCAAACUCAUGAAAAAAUAUAUUUCCACCUCCUUUUUUCUUUCAAUCCCUCAAAUAGAGGCUUCAUUUCUCUGCCACAGUGAUUCCACGAUUCAGGUCUAGAACACGUUAGGUUUGAUAAUUGUGUUCAUAUAAUCUUACAGUCAUCUUUCUCUUGAAUAAGCUAUUGCCAACCCUCAAAAUGUUCAGCAAAACCCCACAUAGCCUUCUGCCUUUCUUUUGAAUAACCACCAAGAUGUGCAGUUUGCUUAGGCAAAUCCUUAUCCACCGACUCCAAUCUUUUGGAGUUUGUUGUUUUUAUUUAUGCUGCAAUCCUUUUCAAAAAUGAUAUUGAUCAGUUCCUAUAGCAUUCUUCUUUUUACAUCAACUGUCUCUUCAUGUCUAUCAUUUUACAGUUUUUCUAUAUAUUUGGGAACAGGCUUCCAAAUUGUCUAGAAAGGAAUUAGAAGGUUUCCUUGUUCCCGUCUUUUUUGUCUGGGGUUUAUUAUCAGAAAGAGAAGUAAUUACAGAGACUCAAAGGAGGCAUCCAAAUGCUACCUUACAUGUGAUUAGGUGUCGGCAAAAUUGGCAAUCUAGACUUGACCUACGUAACUCAAUUAUACCUGUAAUCAGCAGUAUAAAAGACAGCUCUUAUAUCAACUGAAAAUCAAGUACAUUUAUAUAUGGAGCUACUCAUUUCUGGUAUUGAACUAAAUUUGCAAAGAUGAAAGUUUCCAACAUGUAUAAAGACUGGUUAUUAUAUAUAUAAAAUGAAUUUUUGCUAGGUAUAUUUUCAAAUUUUUAUAUCUUUUUCUAUUUUCUGUAUUACGAUAUUAAUUUUCUAUUUGGAUAUGUUGAUGCCUUGAGUUCUCUUAAUGCCAAAAAAGUUCAUAUAACUUUGGAA